UACGUAGGUGGCAAGCGUUGUCCGGAAUUAUUGGGCGUAAAGCGCGCGCAGGCGGUCCUUUAAGUCUGAUGUGAAAGCCCACGGCUCAACCGUGGAGGGUCAUUGGAAACUGGGGGACUUGAGUGCAGGAGAGAAGAGUGGAAUUCCACGUGUAGCGGUGAAAUGCGUAGAGAUCGUAAGGAAGACCAGUGGCGAAGGCGGGUCUCUGGACAGUUCCUGACACUGAGGCACGAAGGCCAGGGGAGCAAACGGG
rnacentral:rRNA from 1 species